UGGGGUGCGAUUCACUAAGGCAAAACAUCUUUACAACCAAGAAAUCGUUGUAACUUCAGAUGAAAAGUCGGCGGUAUUCAUUAGUUAAAAUUGCGCGAUCGUAGCGCCUCAACGAUGUUGACGGCGUGACGUAGAACUAACAUUUGGUGCCAAAUGUAUGAAAAUCGGUAUUCAGCAACACGAAACAUCCUCGCUUGCAACGACAACCUCGCCUUCGCCCUCGAUUUUAUCUGUCAAACCGAAAAGCUUGUAAAUUGUGGAUGUUUUCCUCGAUGAAGGCGAUUAAAAUAUGGCAGUUCGUCUUUCCUGUAUGAUUUUUUUGUUGGAAGAAACUAAACAUCAAGAUAAUUAAAUAAAUAAAUAAGAUAAGAAGUCAGGCCUCCGUGAUACGUAUUAUGGAUUUACUAACUACUGAUAGAAACUAUAUUAAGGUUGACUGAAGAACAGAUUAGACAGUUGAAAGAAGAUUUCUCCUUUCCUAACAAAGGCGAAUCGUUAAGCAGGAAUUAGCAACCACACCAAUAUAUUACACUUAAUCAAUAUAAUAUAAAUCAUCAUACAGUACAGUGGAUAGGUGCCUAAAACUUACUGUCCAUCAACCUUUUGUAUGUACUGUCAAUUUUUUGGUUAGUGGGAUUUAUGUACCAAAUAAUGCUAUGUGACAUUGCAAGAACAAUGUCUCACGGGCAUCAGCCUCAAGGACUCAACAAUAUACAGUAGAUGCCAUCAACCAUCCAGGUAUUAUUGAUAAAGUACAAGGUAAGAAGCAACUGUGACCCGGUUAACAAGCAAGCCGGACUCUAGCAGUGACUUGGACAGUGGACGUCAUGCUAGAAGUUAUUUAAUAAAUUAUAAUAUGUGUGACACCUUCUAACAAUACAUACAUAUGUAUUUUACCUGUGUAUGUUAAAUAGCAAUGUAAACAUUUGUUAGCGCCAUGUAAACGACGCCAUGUCAACCUGCGACGUGCUGCGCGCGCCGCUGGACUUUGGCUGUCACAUUUUUUGUCAUUGAAGAAAAAUUUUCUUUUCGCUUUUUAUUUGUCUCAAUAAAUUGUAUACGAUUAUAUUAUAAUAAACGAUUAUAAUAAACGAAUAUAUGCGUAUCAAACA